GUCGAGCGGUAAGGCCCUUCGGGGUACACGAGCGGCGAACGGGUGAGUAACACGUGGGUGAUCUGCCUCGCACUUCGGGAUAAGCCUGGGAAACUGGGUCUAAUACCGGAUAUGACUUGCUGUCGCAUGGCGGUGGGUGGAAAGAUUUAUCGGUGCGAGAUGGGCCCGCGGCCUAUCAGCUUGUUGGUGGGGUAAUGGCCUACCAAGGCGACGACGGGUAGCCGGCCUGAGAGGGCGACCGGCCACACUGGGACUGAGACACGGCCCAGACUCCUACGGGAGGCAGCAGUGGGGAAUAUUGCACAAUGGGCGAAAGCCUGAUGCAGCGACGCCGCGUGAGGGAUGACGGCCUUCGGGUUGUAAACCUCUUUCGACAGGGACGAAGCGCAAGUGACGGUACCUGUAGAAGAAGCACCGGCCAACUACGUGCCAGCAGCCGCGGUAAUACGUAGGGUGCGAGCGUUGUCCGGAAUUACUGGGCGUAAAGAGCUUGUAGGCGGUUUGUCGCGUCGUCUGUGAAAACUCACAGCUCAACUGUGAGCUUGCAGGCGAUACGGGCAGACUUGAGUACUGCAGGGGAGACUGGAAUUCCUGGUGUAGCGGUGAAAUGCGCAGAUAUCAGGAGGAACACCGGUGGCGAAGGCGGGUCUCUGGGCAGUAACUGACGCUGAGAAGCGAAAGCGUGGGUAGCGAACAGGAUUAGAUACCCUGGUAGUCCACGCCGUAAACGGUGGGCGCUAGGUGUGGGUUUCCUUCCACGGGAUCCGUGCCGUAGCUAACGCAUUAAGCGCCCCGCCUGGGGAGUACGGCCGCAAGGCUAAAACUCAAAGGAAUUGACGGGGGCCCGCACAAGCGGCGGAGCAUGUGGAUUAAUUCGAUGCAACGCGAAGAACCUUACCUGGGUUUGACAUACACCGGAAACCUGCAGAGAUGUAGGCCCCCUUGUGGUCGGUGUACAGGUGGUGCAUGGCUGUCGUCAGCUCGUGUCGUGAGAUGUUGGGUUAAGUCCCGCAACGAGCGCAACCCUUGUCCUGUGUUGCCAGCGCGUAAUGGCGGGGACUCGCAGGAGACUGCCGGGGUCAACUCGGAGGAAGGUGGGGACGACGUCAAGUCAUCAUGCCCCUUAUGUCCAGGGCUUCACACAUGCUACAAUGGCCGGUACAGAGGGCUGCGAUACCGUGAGGUGGAGCGAAUCCCUUAAAGCCGGUCUCAGUUCGGAUCGGGGUCUGCAACUCGACCCCGUGAAGUUGGAGUCGCUAGUAAUCGCAGAUCAGCAACGCUGCGGUGAAUACGUUCCCGGGCCUUGUACACACCGCCCGUCACGUCAUGAAAGUCGGUAACACCCGAAGCCGGUGGCCUAACCCCUUGUGGGAGGGAGCCGUCG
rnacentral:rRNA from 1 species